GGUUCCUGCAACUGCUGCAGACGCCACAGUUGAUGAGCCUCUUGCAGGGCACGCAGACCCCACACCUUUUCCUCUUCUUCUUGGCCGGGUUGGCUCCGCCAGCUCCCCCCGAGGAGGACGAGGAGGAGGAGGAAUGAUUCUGCGGGCAGUCUGCCAGAUUGGCAAUUUGAAACGCACUGUCUGUGACGGCUGCUGAGGCUGCUGCGGGGGAGUGAAGGGCUGUCAUGACGAUGACCCCUGGAGGUGGAGACAGAAAAUCAGAAGCAAUCAAAAUGCAGUUUAUGGAGCUUAGUCCCAACAAUUACCUCUCCAACUCCGUCACCUAUGGCCCACUGAAGAGGGCUCUUCAUUGCAGAAGAGAGUGUAGAAAGAUCGGAAGAGCCGGAAGGUUGAGGAAGUUGUUAUGGGAUGGAGUUUGCUCUGAGAUGGUGUCUCCUAGGAAUGUCAGAAGGGCUAGACCAAUAAAUAUCCUUUCAUGGUUAAAAAAUACUAUAAAAAUGAGGUCUGGAAGGAAUUUAUCCUAACAUAGGGGAUACGUGUGAAAACUUUCUAGCUUCUAUCAUUAUAAACAGAAGGAAAGCUGAAAUUGUUGUGCAGAGAUAGUGGUUCGAGACCCCUUUGGGGGUUGAAUGACCAUUUCACAGAGGUUGCCUGAAACCAUCUGAAAAAGAUAGUUAUAUUAUAAUUCAUAACAUUAGCAAAAUUACAAUUAUAAAAUAACAAUGAAAUUUAUGGUUGGGGGUCACUACAAAUUGAGGAACUGUAUGAAAGGGUCUCAGCAUGAUGAUGGUUGAGAACCACUGGUCUAAGAUGAGGAAUAAGACAAAGAUUCCAUCUUCACAACUCAUAUUUAAUAUAGUAUUAGAAGUUCAGGCCAAGAAAUAAAACAAGAAAAAGAAAUGAAGGACAUCCAAAUAGAAAAGGAACAAGUCAAAUUACUUCUGUUUAUAAAAUUAUGACUACACAUAUAGAAAAUCGAUUUCCUCCCUGCAAAAAUUUUUACAGUGAUAAAUUUAAUAGUUACAGGCUAUAAAACCACCAUAAAAAUAAGUAGCAUUUUGUACUUUAUUAAUAAAGUUUCUAAGAAACCAAAGAAGCAAUCUCAAAAACAGAUGUAAAAAAUACAUAAAAGAAAAUUUUAAACAAGGAAAUUAAUGAUCUCUGCAAAGAAAUGAACAAAACACUGUUGAGAUAAAUUGAAGAUGACACACAAAAAAUGAAAAGAAAUCCUAUGCUAUGCUUUUGGAAUGAAAAAUAAUAAUAUUAAUAUAUUAACUGUUCCUACCAAAAUAUCAUUGAAAUUUUUCAUGUAGAAAACACACUCCAAACAAAUUUUAUGAAACUACUAAAGAACUUAAAAAUAGCAAAAAGAGUUCUGAGCAAAACAAACAAUACCGGAGAUAUUGCAAUGUCUGCUAUGUAAACAUACUUAGUAUUACUAAAGAAAGUAUAGAGUGAUAGAAAGCAAAACAUAGGUGAAUGACCUGAAUUGACUUUGCCCCAAUAUAUUGUAUAAAUUGCUAAGAAGAAUAUGAAAAAAAAAAACGUAUCAUCAGAGAAAUGCAAAUUGAAACCUCCUCAAGAUAUCAUAUUACCCCUAUUAGAAUGCAUAUCAUAAAAAGAACAAACACAGGUUGGCAAAGAUGAGAAAUUGGGAACUCUCAUGUAAUGGCGGAAAUAUAAAUUAGGACAUAAGGGAAAACAGUAUGGAAUAUAAUAUGGAAUUUCUCUACAAAGCUAUAAGAAAAGCCUUAUAUGAUCUAUGAAUCCCACUACUGCUAAGGAGUCAAAGGAAAUGACAUCAUCAUCAGGCAUGCUGCACUAGCAUGCUGGUUGCAGAAUUUUCAAAAUAGCCAGUACAUCGAAUCAGCCUAUGUGUAAGAUAAAUAGACAAGGAAAAUGUGGUGGAAAUACAUAACGGAGUGAAAGCAAUGAAGAGAACAGAAGUCUGUGGAUUGUAGCAUGACUGAAGACAUUAAAAAGAGUGAAAACUCAGACGCAAAAGCUGAAGUCACAUGCUCUCUCCUAUGGGUGCUAAAGUUGAUUUCACAGAGAAUAAAAUAAUACCAGAGGCUGCUUAGUAUUACACAGAGUAUUGUUGUUGGUUUCCAGUUAGCAGGUUGAUAUGGGGAAUAACUUCUAAUAUUUUUUUUCUUUUUUAAAAAUAUGUUUUAUUAUUACUUAUUUUCCUCAAUUACAUUUAGAAUGCUAUCCCAAAAGUCCCCCAUACCCCCCCCCACUUCCCUACCUACCCAUUCCCAUUUAUUGGCCCUGGCAUUCCCCUGUACUGGGGCAUAUACAGUUUGUGUGUCCAAUGGGCCUGUCUUCCCACUGAUGGCCGACUAGGCCAUCUUUUGAUACAUAUGCAGCUAGAGUCAAGAGCUCUGGGGUACUGGUUAGUUCNNNNNNNNNNNNNNNNNNNNNNNNNNNUUUCAUAAAUUCAUUCUUUUUAAUAGCUGAGCAGUACUCCAUUGUGUAAAUGUACCACAUUUUUUGUAUCCAUUCCUCUGUUGAGGGGCAUAGCAUACAUAAUUACUAUGUUUCUUGACAAUUAAUUGAACAUUUCAAAAUAGAUAGCAGAGAGAAAUUUGGAUGCUCAAAUAUUGUAGGAAAAGUUUUAGAUAUUUCACUUAUAUUUCCAUGUCACAAACAUGUGUGGUAGGUUGUGUUUGUUUUUGUCACCCCUCUGUAACUAAAACCCUUCACAGAAGUAACUUGAGGGGGAUUUCCUUCAGCUCGAGGUUUCAGAGGGCUGUCAUUGAUUUUAGAGAAGGGAAGCACAACAGAGCAGUUCGGUUCAUAUUGGUGAAAGCUGUUCGCAUGGUAAUGGAUGAGGAAGCAGAGCCAGAUAGCCUGCAAAGGGAAUGCCUCUCCAGACCUACUUCUGCCAGAUUGGCCCCAUUCUGCAAAGUUCCUGCAACCUCCCAAAAGAGAACCAUCAGCUGGGAAAGAAGCCAAACAAGACUUCAUAACGAGAACUUCUGAGGACUAAUUCAGAGGGAAAUCACACACUAUGGAUUAACUAAAAAUAAAAAUAAAGGAGGAAAAUCAUUUUUCUCAGUGGUGCAGCCAUUGAUAAGCUACAUCCAUCCCAUAGAAACAAUACAAGUUAAAAUUAAGUAGGGGUAUUCACGUAUAAAAACAAAUAAAAAUGUAUAUUAAUACAAAUAUAUUACAAAUAAUAUAUAUUCUUACAAAUAUUACAUAUAUACAGAGAGAAACUGCUUAGUUUUCAGAAAGAGAUAAACAUCAUAACUGACUACACUAAUAAUGUUACUAUCCUUAUGAACACUGAGAGCUGUUACAUGAGAAUAGUUGUAAUUUAAUACUUAAUAUUUCCUUUUCUUUGUGACUGGCAUGUCCAUUUCUACAUGUAGUUUUUAUGAAUUCAUUUUCAAAUUCUUUCUUAUGUGGCUGUAGACUUCAGUGCCCUGUGAGUUACAAGAUGACCACCAACAAUGAAAGGAUAGUUUAUUGUCACAAAGGAUAUAUUCAAAAUGGGAACAAUUUAGAGACUUAUUUUCUCAGUAUCUCAAAUAUUUUGCUUUACACUCAGGUACUAAUAAUUCUUUCAAUGUUUUCUGUUGCUCACUGCUACCCUCAUGUUUUGUGAAAUAAUCCUGUAGAGAUUGUAUAGUUAUCAAGGCCUCCAAGGUUGUCUUAUAUCAUUUUUUGCCUGUUUAUUUUCCUGUCAAUCCACGUGUAAACAUUAAACGAGGUACUCAUAUCAUACCCUUAAUGAAUGCUGCUGUGUGUCCUUCCUUGUCAUGAUGCUGUCUGAGAUCUUUCCUAUAUCUUUAUAUGUAUGUGAAGGAUUAACAAGACCUAUACUUGUUCCAGUUAUGAUUUUUUUCACUAUUUAUUUCCCAUCAAGUGUUUAAAUAUAAAUUUAUAAAU
ensembl:antisense